UUUAAAUGUGAAAGGUGCUGGGGA
rnacentral:piRNA from 1 species